GUGAAAGGAUUUAAUUUAUUGUCAAAUCCUUGAUCAUUUAACUUGUCAAAAUAUUGAAUGCCGUUUAGGAAAUGGUUGCUUGGCUUCUUCUGAAGAUGGACCCUUUCAAUAUGCAAAGCAUGCCAUGCGUUAGCAUGCGUUUAGCAAAUGAAACUUUAAUGGAUAGUUGGAAAGUGGCUUCAGAGCUUUGACAGCUGUAACACCAAAUGAUUUAACAUGAGAUGCUUUCAUUCAGGAGACUUUAUUCUGCUUCAUUUACGUUCAAGCUCUUGCUUCAAUGUUGUGAUAUGAUAACUCUCCAAAGCGCGUGCAAUCUGCAAAGUCCUCUCUCCUUUCAUUUAAAAAUCAGAGGUAAAACAACCCCAGCCACACUGCAACGUCUGGCAUCCACUUCCACGCGUCUUGGUUACGACAACAGAUGAAUCAAAGAUGUCCUCUGUCUGCCGUAAUACAUAUUUGAUCAUACCCGAAGAUCUAAUCCAGUGGUUGCACCUCAUCAAUGAUUGACAGUCUCGGCGAGGUAGCAGUUUAUAUUUCCUCCUCUAGCAACAGGAGACUGUCUCUGUAACUGGCCACCAUGUUAGAGGACAUUCGUUGAUCCAGCUCAGCAGCUGCUACAGUUGUAUAAAGAGUGAAUUACCUACUGAGCGCUGUGGAGCAACCAAUACACAAGCCUCUUCUCAGACAUUUGUUCACGGUUCCCAGGAGACCUUUCAGCCAAAGGUGCAGUAAAUAGCUCCUGUGUUGGUAAUCCAUCCCCGUGAUCCUGAUCUGAGGAGAGGAAAGAUGCUUAGAUUUAAACACGCUCUCAUCUGUCCUGGAAAUGUCUGUAUUUUCGUGACAGGGAAAAGUGAUUUGCCUUUGGCCGCUGCAGCACGAGCCACUAAUGAUGAUCGAAACCUCGAACACGUACGUAGCCAUUUAUCGUCCAUUUUUAAUGGACUGAGGCCCAUUGGCAGAGAUUCUGCAAAAGAGACUACUUUGUAUAAAGUGAAGGGCACUUGUGGUUAACUCACAUUAGGUGUCCAGGGACAUGUUCUGGGAUGAGAAUGGGACAAUCGGAAAACUGUUAGAAAUUAGACAGUGACGUGCUCUGUCUGAGGUACCCUUUCAUCAAAAUGACAAAGCCGGUCACCAUUGGUGAGGAAACCCUUUCAUUGUCCUAAUUAGUUUGACCAAGGACAGUCCGUUCCAAAUCUGGAUAAUAACUUGCUUUUCAGGCGACCUGUGGUCUCUGUGGUCAGCAAAGGCUCAAAUUAGUGCAGCCUUUACUUUCCUUCAGUAGUACAGGGAAAGUUAGAAUAAUUUAGAACAGACUUGUUCUCUCGUUGUUUUGUGGUAAAACACUUUCUAAAGAGGUGGUCUGGGCUGAAAAGUGAACAAGUGCCUUUUUAUUUACGAGGCACAAUAUUUAAAAUGUUCAAUUUUUUUUGUGUUAAGCAUUGUAAAAAUCGGUAAAAGCAAGAUUCUGUGUUUUUCUUCUCUUGGGGGUCCUUGAACAAUCUCUAGGGCGGUUAAUAUAAGAUAUCUAGGGACUAGGCAGCCCUGCCGUACUCCUCUGGACUGGCUCGGGGUUUCAUUAAAAUGUUGAUAAAAAUUUGAGAGAGACACGCUGGCAUUUAUGAGUGACCUUCUGUCUUUAUUACAUAUCAUACAGCCGGGCGAACAGAAGCCAUGGGAUGGCCUUCACAACAUGUAGCGGUCAGAGUAAUAUGAGGCGACAGAAGGGCAAAACUGUAGGUGUAAAUUACCCAAUCAGGUUUUUUCCCCUCGGCAAACAUCGGUAAUGGACAUGGCGAGUUGAAUUGUUGGCUUUAAGAGGAUGAAAGUACUGUAAGAGGUGGAUGAGGCGGCAUGUUAAUGGUGGUUCACUCGAGCUUCACCCUAAUGUACUAACAUCCUUUAGAUGUAUUAUCGUAAAAUGAUGUUCUGCUGUGGUUUGAGUAUGUUAAUCUCGACGCAGACCUAAAAAUUCCACCGUAAUUCCCACAGAACCUGAACACCUGAAACGUGCUGAAUGAUUGUACUAAAAAGUCUACGUGGUGCAAAAGAAUUAAGUCUACAAUUAGCCUUUUCAAUUAGCCUCUAAGGAGGGCGAACUGCUGAUAAAGAUCACAUGACAUGAUCAACAGCUGCAAGGCGGCGACUAAAUCAACCUCGAGGUGAGAUCGUUUCCCGAACGGUACAUUAAUUCCUUCCCGAAGUCAUACGUGUUUGUAUACAGUGGGACUGUAGCCUCCUCCUAUCUGCCUGAAUAGCACACAGGGGCUAAUUAACACGUCUGGCCCGUAAAUUGGGCCGUUGUCCCGCAACGGCAGUUUGACGCUGUGGUGGAAAACAGGCUCAGCAAACACAGAAAAGAUGGUCCGCAGCACAAACGGACUCCAUGAAACACAAACCACUAAGUACACCUCGCUCAGCUCGGCUUCCUCAUUCAAUUUUCCUUUGUGUCAUUUCGGGUCACGUGAGAUAAUGGUUUAAUGCACCGUUUCACAAAACAACACGCUAUGGAAAAGGAAAAUGAAGCAGUAUGUGGUUUGGGGGGGGGGGGAGGGCGUGUGGGACACGCGUGUCCUCGGCUGGAGACAUUCCCCCACUGGAAUUUCCAGUGGUCCGUGCGCUUCAUUUUGGAAUUUUUUUAAAUGGCUGCCUGGCAGCUGCCGGUGUUUCCAAGGCAACGGUGUGAUUGGGGAAAGGGGAUUUUGAAUGGUAGCUGUCAGCGAGGAAAAUUGAGCACCGCCACAGGGACACGUUUUACCCGGUGAGAGUUUACGUUAAAUGUGGGUCAAUCAUAAGCUUCUAUUAAAUCUUCACCCUGGUGAGGCUUGUUCAUUUGCAUUUUGCUUGACAUUCCAUUAAGAGUAAUAGGCUGCUCUCUGGUGUGUGAUGAAUGUGUGGCAGUCUGGGGGUCGGGGGGUACGUAAAAACUUAUUUUUAUAUUAGAUUUAUUGAAUUGGCACUUUCUUAGCGUAGAAAAUAUAUUUUAUUCAAUGUUGAUGAUUUAAUUCUGUAAUUAUUGUAAGUUCGCCCUGACAGUCCAAUCACAAUCAAUGGUAUAGUCCUCAAAUGCGUGUAUGUCUGCACUAUUGAAUCUAAUGUCCAAAUAUUAUUAAAUAUUUAAAUUUUAAAAACUACUGAUAGGACAAUCAUUUUGUGACUAGCUCUCAUGGAUAUGUUAUUUAACUUGGCUUGGUGUCAUUAUAUGCUUUACCUCAAUUCAAUAGAGAUUGAUCUGACAUAAGAGUCACUGAAUUUAAACUGACAGCAUCGAUCACCCACUGGUGCUAUUCUUUUGAUAUCUAAAUUAAAACAAACAGGCAGUGUAAUGAUAUGUGCGUGAUUUUAUGUGUUGUAUCAAAUAACAUGUUUCACUAUCUCCUAAUGGAUACUUUGCAAGGGAAUCACCAACUAGAGAGGCGAACAUCUGCACAUCAGGUUUUGAAUGGUAUGAUUACAGAUGUUUUACAGCCAUUCUUUGCCAACACGCUUGAAGCUUUAUCACACAGACAAGCCGCGCACGGGAGCCCUCAAUGUCCACUAGCGUGUACCAUGUAUUCAAAUAUAUUUCCUGUCCUUCAUUAAACUGUCGUUUGACCGCC
ensembl:lncRNA